CUCUCCCCUGGACUUGUGAAUGUGUUUGUGAGUGUCUGGCACCUUGGCUGGGGUUCACUCACUUGGCUGUUUCGGGCUUGGGCCUCAGCACCCUGGUUGGCCCACAGGCUUCUCAGCCUCUGGCAGAUCAAAGAAAACCAUGCCGCCUGGCUCCCAAUUUGGAACUCUUAUUCAGUUCUCAAGCCCCUGCCAUCUUCUCACCCCUGCCAAGAACCCGAGUUCUGAUCUCAACAGAGCUACGCUCGCUGUGGAGAGAUGGCUGGUCGUGCACCGAAAUCCACCCUUGCGUGAGG